UGAUAAGUAUCCCACCUGGGGAGUACGUUCGCAAGAAUGAAACUCAAAGGAAUUGACGGGGGCCCGCACAAGCGGUGGAGCAUGUGGUUUAAUUCGAUGAUACGCGAGGAACCUUACCAAGGCUUAAAUGUAGAUUGACCGGUUUGGAAACAGACUUUUCGCAAGACAAUUUACAAGGUGCUGCAUGGUUGUCGUCAGCUCGUGCCGUGAGGUGUCAGGUUAAGUCCUAUAACGAGCGCAACCCCUGUUGUUAGUUGCCAGCGAGUCAUGUCGGGAACUCUAGCAAGACUGCCAGUGUAAACUGUGAGGAAGGUGGGGAUGACGUCAAAUCAUCACGGCCCUUACGCCUUGGGCUACACACGUGCUACAAUGGCCGGUACAGAGAGCAGCCACU
rnacentral:rRNA from 1 species